rnacentral:tRNA from 1 species
GUCAGGAUGGCCGAGUGGUCUAAGGCGCCAGACUUAAGAUCUGCUCCCUGAGGGGAUCGUGGGUUCGAAACCCACUCCUGACA